GGCGCGAUAUGUAUGGCUUGUCUGCCAUGGCGCGCGCGGCGGUGGUCCGCGAGAAGUGGCGCUCGGUAUUCUGGGGGUGUUCUGCUGCCGGUGGCUGUUAAGGGCACAGCGCCUAGAGAAGGCGACGGUGACAGUGACGCCGGGCUGUGCUGCGAUGGCGGGCUUUACCUUACGGCGGCCCUCGCCUCGGAGAGAAAGAGAAGGUGUAUAUUGGGAAACUGAACAUGAUUCUUGUUCAGAUUCUGAAACAGGAAUGGCCAAAGCACUGGCCAACUUUUAUAAGUGAUAUUGUAGGAGCAAGCAGGACUAGUGAAAGCCUUUGUCAGAACAACAUGGUGAUCCUUAAACUACUGAGUGAAGAAGUGUUUGAUUUUUCCAGUGGCCAGAUAACUCAAGUGAAAGCAAAACAUUUGAAAGACAGCUGAAUAUGCCAAUGGGAGAGUUUAGGGCUGUUUGGGCCCGUACUGUGUAUUCAGUGCAGAUUGUACAUGAAUCUGGCUGACCAUCUCUAUCCCUGCCUCCCAGAUAGCACACAGCCCUUUGACUGUCUCCUGCAGUUCAGUCAACUGUUGCAGGUCUUCCACCUGGGCACAUCUUACACAGGUUCUUAAGGUCUUCGGCUGUACAUGCCUUUCUGGAUUAAAAGGGGACAUUCCCAAAUUGACAACCAUCUGAGAAGCUGCAGGAACUCCACUGUUGACAACAGGAGCUCAGCUGGAUGGAACCAGAUCAGUGGUCACUGAUUCAGCAUUCUGUGCCAAAGGUGAAAAGUACACCACAGGAGCCUUCAUGGGGAAGACUCAAAAAGACCCCGGCCCACAACCGCCACAGGGCAGGACGCAUGUGUGAAAAGUUCCACUAAUCUUGUAUGGAGAGCACAAGUUGAAUUUCCGAAUAUUUUUAUUAAAAUGCAAAAGAGAGAAAAUCUAGAGCAGUGGAGAAGAAUUUCAUUAUUACAGUGCCUAAGCUUAGGAAAUGGAAUCUGAUAGUCUGUGUAACAUGAUGAAAGACCCUCUGCAGAGCCUGAUAACCUAUGAUUGCCUCUAUCAUGAAUGAUUCGUGCAGAAGUAUGCUUGCAAGUAUGCCUGCAUAUGAACUGAUUUCAUUCAAAAUACAUAGUUAUUUUUGGCAUUUAAAACUUUCUGAUUCUUUUAUACGUUGGAUAAAAAGUGUUUUUCACUUGGCUCUGAAAUGAUGUGCAUUUCAAAGAUGCUGUCGUGUGAUUGGCUCUAAGAUAUUUAGUUUUGCCUUGGGCAUGUGUUUGGAGUUCUUGAUUUUUUUUUUUUUUUUGUCAAAUUCAUAAUUUUUUUAGAGGUUUGGUUAUUUUCUGCUUCUUUUAAACCUAUUCCUAAUUGUUGAAUAAAUCACUACUUUUUUUUCCCCCAGUUGUCAGUUUAACCUGAUCUGUAUUGUUUCUACUCUACACUUCUAAAGGUUUUGUUGUUAUUUUCUAUACAAGGUAUUUUGCUGACUGCUGUAGUUGUUUCCUAGCAUUUGUCAUUAUAGGAAGUCUGUUAGUCACACUGUAAUUACGGAGUUAGCCAGUGAAGUUAAAAGUUUCACCAGUAGAUAUAUCUUUCGAAAAGCUAUCUCAAUAGGCCCUCGUCAUGCUAGGUUCAUUUUUUGCAGUGGUAAGUACUUUAUAUUUAACAAUAUUGCUAGUUGUUACAAAUAUACAAUGAGCUGAAAAUGUAGUGUGUGUUUGUUGACUAUUUUUAUUUUGUGACGUGGUGGAUCUCUUGUAUUACUUCUAAAUGUUUUCUAGACAUAGCUGAUAAUUCAUGAAAUUGCCAUGCAAUUUAAAGAUUGUCUUAGUGUUGCUAUACAUCCCCAUUUAUCCUAAAAACGAUAAAUCCUAUGUUGAAGGUAGUAGGUGAUUCUGUGACAUUAUAAUAUUGUGAUGAAUAUAGUGAAAUAAAUAGUUUGUGUCAUCUACUGGUCUGAACAGGAUCUGCAUUUCAAUUCAGAAUGAGUUGUGUGUCCUAGUGAAGUGUUCAGUAUGUAAAAGAAGAAAAUCACCAUAAAUAAUGUAAUUUUUAAUGUCUUUUCUGUAUUAAGUGCCAACAAAUGUUAAAAAUGUGCUAAUUAAAGGAAGAAACUAAUAUGUUAUCCCUUUUCCUAUCUCUGCCUUCUUAACCAUACCUAGAAGUUUAAUCUAAAUUUGAUAGAGCGUGGAAAGGUACCUUCCAAUAGGUUGGUCAUGUUUUAGCAGGAUUUAUGUCUAUAUUGGUGGUAUAGAGUACUGUGAAUAUGAACAGUUUGUCUAGACAUGUUUGAUGGAGUCAUACUUUCUAUAAUAAUUUGUAAUUACGGUAUAUCCCAUCAUCACAUUUACUUAUAAAAGAGUAUUUAAAAUAAACCAACACCUUCUCCUUCAUGGAUUUUCUCUGUAAAUUUUGGUGUUAAGGCUGGAGUAAUAAAGCUACUGGUACGGGGUGGACUUCAUCGUAGCAUACUUCAUAUACUUUAGUUUAGCUGAACGAACUUCAUAUCCUACAGCCUGAUAGAUGAUUGUAUUUUCUGAGAUUCCAUGCUCAAUUCUUAAUUCAGUUUGUCUUAGCACUUGCAUAUUUGAUACAUUCUGUGUACAUUCAGAUUAUAAAUAUUAUUCUGCAAUGAG